rnacentral:snoRNA from 1 species
AUGCAAUGUAAAAUACCAUUAGCAGUUAAUAUCUCCUGCUAAGGUUGCCACUACAGAUGCAAGGAAAAGAAAGUUCUUGUGCUUUCUGUCUGCCUGGUUGUGGCAGCCAAGAUUGAAUGGGAGAAUACAGGA